GUCGGUGUGGCUCAGUUGGUUAGAGCGUUGGUCUCAUAUGCGAAGUAAUUCGUUGAGUAUGACUUGGUUAAACACCAGGGUAAUCCAAAGGUCGAGAGUUCGAGCCUCUCCACCGACA
rfam:Fusarium graminearum chromosome 3, complete genome